rnacentral:tRNA from 2 species
GCGCCCUUAGCUCAGUGGUAGAGCACUGCAUUCACAUUGCAGGGGUCGGAGGUUCGAUACCUCCAGGGCGCACAA